rnacentral:rRNA from 1 species
UACAGAGGUCUCAAGCGUUGUUCGGAUUCAUUGGGCGUAAAGGGUGCGUAGGUGGCGCGCUAAGUCAGGUGUGAAAUUUCGGAGCUCAACUCCGAAACUGCAUUUGAUACUGGCGUGCUUGAGGACUGGAGAGGAGACUGGAAUUUACGGUGUAGCAGUGAAAUGCGUAGAGAUCGUAAGGAAGACCAGUGGCGAAGGCGGGUCUCUGGACAGUUCCUGACACUGAGGCACGAAGGCCAGGGGAGCAAACGGG